rnacentral:lncRNA from 1 species
CUGUAUUUAGUCUCUGAAGGAGUUCUUGUGCUUCUUUUACCUCUUUCCCUUUGUCCUUUGGUGACAACACUCACAAGAACCCAAAAGUUGAAAAGAAGACACAUGAAGUAACUACUAACUAGGAAGACCAUAAGCAGAAAGUAUAAAUGAGCACAUACCAUAGUAAUUUCCAUCAACCUCGAUGACAUCAAUCUGCAUCAAUUUUUAUAUAACAAGUCAACAUAAACAAGCAAAGGAAAAGAAAAGGAAAGAGUCAAAUAACAGAGUUUAACCAAGCGAUGAACUACUGGCAUUUGCAGCAACAAUGAUGGUGGUGCCCGAGGAUAUGCUAGCACUGGUAGCGGUUAACUUUUGGUGUUGGUGUUGGCCCUACUAAUGACGCUAAAAUGCCUAACAUUUCUAUCUACUCCACACUCUAUGCCGAAUUGUCUUUAUUACUAACAUUGGGAUUUUUUAUUAAGAACUUGAGUUUUUGGGUCCAUGCUAAUGGUGUCGGAUCAAUACCCAACAUCUCAUUCUGCC